CCUACGGGCGGCAGCAGUGAGGAAUAUUGGUCAAUGGGCGCGAGCCUGAACCAGCCAAGUCGCGUGAGGGAAGACGGUCCUAUGGAUUGUAAACCUCUUUUGUCGGGGAGCAAAAGACGCCACGCGUGGCGUUCCGCGAGUACCCGAAGAAAAAGCAUCGGCUAACUCCGUGCCAGCAGCCGCGGUAAUACGGAGGAUGCGAGCGUUAUCCGGAUUUAUUGGGUUUAAAGGGUGCGCAGGCGGAAGAGCUAGUCAGCGGUAAAAUUGAGAGGCUCAACCUCUUCGAGCCGUUGAAACUGGUUGUCUUGAGUGAGUGAGAAGUAGGCGGAAUGCGUGGUGUAGCGGUGAAAUGCAUAGAUAUCACGCAGAACUCCGAUUGCGAAGGCAGCAUACCGGCGCUCAACUGACGCUCAUGCACGAAAGUGUGGGUAUCGAACAGGAUUAGAUACCCGGGUAGUC
rnacentral:rRNA from 1 species